AGCGAGUUAGAGAAAGGGAAUCUCGAUAGCCUCAUUAGCUAUAGUUCUAGGUUCGAAUCCUAGGUUCGCAAC
rnacentral:tRNA from 1 species